CAUUGCGCCACCACAAAACGUGUGUACAUACUGCGUACGUAGCCGUUCAACAGCGUUCGCGCCGUACGGAAACCCACACAACAACAAUGGAGGACUUCAUUGGAGUGGUGUUCAUGGCUUUGCUAGUGUGUCUCGCCAUCGUUGAGCAGCAAAACCUUCUGUUAGGGGUUACCCAUCGGCGUCGCCGUUCCAAUGCCCGGCGAUCACGUUUGAGAAGAAAGAUGUUUUUAGAUGUCACCCCACCCCCUGCCCGUGACAUGCUCGGCUCUCAACUCUGGCCAAGUCUGGCCCAGCAACGAGUUGGUGCCCGAAAAAGCCCCAGUUUUUGGAGCCCGGAGCCGCAGCUCCGGUGGUGGAAAGACAAAAAACCGGCGCCAAGUCGGGCACUGGCUCCGACUCCGAACGGGCUCCACCCCGGUCGAAAGCCCCUAAGAGAGCGGAGCAUGAGCGGAGCGAGUGAGCCAGGCAACAACAAGCCUCGCUCCACACCUGCUUAUUUGGUUAAAAAAACAGGUUUCCCAGAGACUAUGGGUUGAGGAGGAAUUGGAAGUUUGUCGGCUUAGACCUGGUGUCAUUCCAUCAGUGUUAAACUUCCCGGCUCAUCUUGGAGGAGAACGUGCCAGAAAGACCAUGACCAAGCAGCCUUGAGAUCUUAGGCAGCGUCUCCCUGAGGUCCCUCUCUAUCUCCCUACACAUCCACCAACCACUGGAACACAUCUCCAAAGUUCUGCCGGGCCAGCUCAGCUUCCCCUCAGAAGAAGUGCUGCCACCUGCCAGAUGAAGGAGCCUUUUGAGAGGCAGCUGGCAUCGUGAUUGGACUGUACUUUGGUCUGUUCCAGUCCAGCUUCAGCUCCAGAGACAGCAGGCGGGACGAGUCAACGGAGGCCUGGUGGACGAAGACCAAAGAACUACAGACUCUUCACAACCUGCUCAAACUCUUGGUACAGGAUCUCACCACACGGGUCAAGAAG
ensembl:lncRNA